UGGGGAAUAUUGCGCAAUGGGCGAAAGCCUGACGCAGCAACGCCGCGUGGAGGAUGAAGGCUCUCGGGUUGUAAACUCCUUUCAGCAGGGAAGAAAUUGACGGUACCUGCAGAAGAAGCACCGGCCAACUACGUGCCAGCAGCCGCGGUAAUACGUAGGGUGCAAGCGUUGUCCGGAUUCAUUGGGCGUAAAGAGCUCGUAGGCGGCUUGGCAAGUCAGAUGUGAAACCCUCAGGCUUAACCUGGGGAUGCCAUCUGAUACUGCCAUGGCUAGAGUGCGGUAGGGGACUACGGAAUUCCUGGUGUAGCGGUGAAAUGCGCAGAUAUCAGGAGGAACACCGGUGGCGAAGGCGGUAGUCUGGGCCGUUACUGACGCUGAGGAGCGAAAGCGUGGGGAGCGAACAGG
rnacentral:rRNA from 1 species